UACGGAGGGAGCUAGCGUUAUUCGGAAUUACUGGGCGUAAAGCGCACGUAGGCGGCUUUGUAAGUUAGAGGUGAAAGCCCGGAGCUCAACUCCGGAACUGCCUUUAAGACUGCAUCGCUUGAACGUCGGAGAGGUAAGUGGAAUUCCGAGUGUAGAGGUGAAAUUCGUAGAUAUUCGGAAGAACACCAGUGGCGAAGGCGACUUACUGGACGACUGUUGACGCUGAGGUGCGAAAGCGUGGGGAGCAAACAGG
rnacentral:rRNA from 1 species